rnacentral:rRNA from 1 species
UGCCAGCAGCCGCGGUAAUACGGAGGGUGCAAGCGUUGUUCGGAAUCAUUGGGCGUAAAGCGCGUGUAGGCGGCUUGGCAAGUCGGGUGUGAAAGCCCGGGGCUCAACCCCGGAACUGCAUUCGAAACUGCCUGGCUAGAGUUCCGGAGAGGAAGGCAGAAUUCCCGGUGUAGAGGUGAAAUUCGUAGAUAUCGGGAGGAAUACCAGUGGCGAAGGCGGCCUUCUGGACGGCAACUGACGCUGAGACGCGAAAGCGUGGGGAGCAAACAGGAUUAGAUA